rnacentral:rRNA from 1 species
GACGAACGCUGGCGGCGUGCUUAACACAUGCAAGUCGAACGGAAAGGCCCUGCUUUUGUGGGGUGCUCGCGUGGCGAACGGGUGAGUAACACGUGAGUAACCUGCCCUUGACUUUGGGAUAACUUCAGGAAACUGGGGCUACUACCGGAUAGGAGCUCCUGCUGCAUGGUGGGGGUUGGAAAGUUUCGGCGGGUGGGGAUGGACUCGGGGCUUAUCAGCUUGUUGGGGGGGUAGUGGCUUACCAAGGCUUUGACGGGUAGCCGGCAUGAGAGGGUGACCGGCCACAUUGGGCCUGGGAGAGGGACCAGACUCCUACGGGAGGCAGCAGUGGGGAAUAUUGCACAAUGGGCGGAAGCCUGAUGCAGCAACGCCGCGUGCGGGAUGACGGCCUUCGGGUUGUAAACCGCUUUCGCCUGUGACGAAGCGUGAGUGACGGUAAUGGGUAAAGAAGCACCGGCUAACUACGUG